rnacentral:tRNA from 1 species
ACCUGGCUGACUCAGUUGGUAGAGCAUGUGACUCUAGAUCUCAGGGCUGUAAGUUCGAGCCCUAUGCUGGGUG